AAGCUAAUUAAGCUAGUGGGCCCAUCCCCCACCAAUGAAGAUCCUAACCCUUCUCUUGUCA
rnacentral:tRNA from 1 species